AUUGAACGCUGGCGGCAGGCCUAACACAUGCAAGUCGAGCGAGCGGCGGACGGGUGAGUAAUGUCUCGGAAACUGCCUGGUGGAGGGGGAUAACAACUGUAAACGGUAGCUAAAACAGCAUAGCCUCUGAUGUGCCCAGAUGGGAUUCGCUAGUAGGUGGGGUAACGGCUCACCUAGGCGACGCGCCCUAGCUGGUCUGAGAGGAUACCCCGCCAAACUGGAACUGAGACACGGUCCAGACUCCUACGGGAGGCAGCAGUGGGGAAUAUUGCACAAUGGGCGCAAGCCUGAUGCAGCCAUGCCGCGUGUGUGAAGAAGGCCUUAGGGUUGUAAAGUACUUUCAGCGGGGAGGCGUUACCCGCAGAAGAAGCACCGGCUAACUACGUGCCAGCAGCCGCGGUAAUUC
rnacentral:rRNA from 1 species